rnacentral:snRNA from 1 species
GCGAAACCACAGCCAAGGG